GGUGUGGAUAGGGGAGAAAUUCCAAUCGAACCCGGAGAUAGCUGGUUCUCCUCGAAAUAGCUUUAGGGCUAGCCUCGAUACAGAUUUGCGGAGGUAGAGCACUGAAUUUCCUAGGGGGCGUCAAAGCCUACCGAAGAAUAUCAAACUCCGAAUGCCGCGUAAUCGAUUAUCGGGAGUCAGACUGCACGAGAUAAGUUGGGCGGUCAAAAGGGAAAGAGCCCAGACCUUCAGUUAAGGUCCCAAAGUGCGCGUUAAGUGGAAAAGGAUGUGGGAUUUCGAAGACAACCAGGAUGUUGGCUCAGAAGCAGCCAUCCAUUCAAAGAGUGCGUAAUAGCUCACUGGUCGAGAGGUCCUGCGCCGAAAAUGUCCGGGGCUGAAACGCGCCACCGAAACUAAGGAACCGAAAGGUUGGUAGAGGAGCAUUGCAUGCGGAACGAAGCAGUACCGUAAGGAGCUGUGGACUGCAUGGAAGAGAGAAUGCCGGAAUGAGUAGCGAGAUAGAGGUGGGAAUCCUCUAGGCCGAAUAUCCAAGGUUUCCAGAGUAAAGCUGAUCUGCUCUGGGUAAGUCGGGGCCUAAGGCGAGGACGAGAGUCGUAGCCGAUGGACAACAGGUGGAGAUUCCUGUACUGCGGUAUGACAGAACUGUGGGGACACGUAAGGAAAGCGGAAGCCGGGAAUGGAAAGCCCGGUGCAAGCGGGGUACCAGUCACUCUGGCAAAUCCGGGUGGCAAUGGGAAGCCGUGAUGCGGAGCGAAAUAAAGUAGUGAAGUCCGUGAGCCAUGCGUCAAGAAAAGCCGCUAUUGUUUAUACCGUACCCGUACCGUAAACCGACACAGGUGGAUGAGGAGAGAAUCCUAAGGCCGGCGGAAGAAGCAUUGUCAAGGAACUCGGCAAAAUGGCCCCGUAACUUAGGGAUAAGGGGUGCCUCAGAAAUGAGGCCGCAGAGAAUAGGCUCAAGCAACUGUUUAGCAAAAACACAGGUCUAUGCGAAACCGAAAGGUGAGGUAUAUGGGCUGACGCCUGCCCGGUGCUGGAAGGUUAAGAGGAGAGGUUAGCGCAAGCGAAGCUUUGAAUUUAAGCCCCAGUAAACGGCGGCCGUAACUAUAACGGUCCUAAGGUAGCGAAAUUCCUUGUCGGGUAAGUUC
rnacentral:rRNA from 1 species